ensembl:lncRNA
GGAGUAUUUUGUACAACAGUUUAGGUGAAUAUCUGUUAAGGAGACCUGUUAUCAGAUGCAUUUGUUCUUUCCUGAAUUUUUCUCAGCAGAAGAAUCAAUUUUUUGUUUGUUUGUUUGUUUUGUACCAAAAAUACAAAAACACGUGAAGUAGUAUGAUGCUGGCAACAUUUCUUCUUGAAACAUUAUUCUGUAGAUACUUCCUAUGUUUGGCACUAAGAUGGUUGUUCUAUAGACCACACAAGAAAAAUACAAAUGAGACUCUGCCCUGUGAAUUUUCUCUAUAGUUCUGCAGGUAGCAGAAUGCAGCACCUGUUGCCUGGAUCUAAGAUGUGAGGUGACAACACUGCACUUACCAAG